rnacentral:rRNA from 1 species
GGCUCCUUGUUUAAGAAAGAUAAGGAGUCUGGCCUGCCCAAUGACCAAAGUUGUUAAAUGGCCGCAGUAUAUUGACUGUGCGAAGGUAGCGUAAUAAUUUGCCUAUUGAUUGUGGGCUAGUAUGAAGGGCUUGACGAGGGCUGAGCUGUCUCUUUCAUAAUAUAUUUAGAAAUUAUUUUUUAGGUGAAAAAUCCUAAAUAUUGCUAAGGGACGAUAAGACCCUGUCGAGCUUUAGUAAAAUUUUAGAUAUGGUUAUUUAAAUUUAAAAAUAGCCUUUUAUCACUAAAAUGAAUCUUUGGCUGGGGCGGCCAAGAAGUAGGGAAAACCUUUUGUGUAACAUACUUACUUUUAGGUAUAAGAUCUGGUUUUGUUACAGAAUAGAAGAAAAAGUUACCGCAGGGAUAACAGCGUAAUUCUUUUGGAGAGUUCUUAUUGAGAAAAGAGUUUGCGACCUCGAUGUUGGACUAAGAUAUCCUGAAGGUGUAGCAGUUUUCAAGGGUUGGUCUGUU